UUGAGCAACGAAUAUACUCUACACUUAAUACAUCUAGGAUCCGAUGCACACUUUCCCCUUUCUUCGCGCAUGAACAUCCCCUAAAUUGCUACUGGGUCCUGACACCGGCCUCCUCCAUUCCCCGCACCUGAGAUCCCAUGUCUCCACCCCUGGUCUCUCGUCAUCGCAUCGGCGGCAGCUCCCGCUUCCAUUCCCCGUUUCUCUUCUUCACACAGGGCAGUGGACUCUAAUGGGAGAGAUGCUCGCGAUCCCGCAUCAACGACUGCUCUGGAGCCCCGACAAGGCGGAGGUUGUCUCUGUUAACUCUCCAGCGGCCUCACCAUUGUCUUCUUCUACCUAAGAUGUACGGUAGCAACAAAUCCCGGUGGUUCAGGACAGAGGGCCUUGAACAAAACCUGGUAGAUUCAGAAGAGAAGAGUUGAAAACAUACUAUUUUUUUACUGUCUACUAUACUUUAAGUUCCCUAGGAAUUAGGAUGAUCCGCAUCUGAAUUGUAUAUCAAGCUAUAGCAAGAGAAUUCAAUUCUUGAAUCAUCACGGCUAUGGAGUACUAAUAUUAGGAUUUAGGAGUAUUGUUGUAUUAUUGGUGGAGAAGAUCCUGUGAUCCUGUCUACUGCUAACCUGAUAGAACAAGGCUACGAGACAUAGGGUAAUUUUGUGUUUGACACGGAGCAGGAUUCAUAUGUGUUCCGCAACACAUUUCCAAGUGAAAAGGUUUUAUAUUCGUUCCAUUGCAACUGUUGCACACUAGCAGUUUGCCUUAAUAUGUGUGAGAGAACUAAAAGCUGAUGAUAUGUUGUAGUGUUGUUUGUGUUCAUGUUGUAGAUUCAUGUGGCCUGACGGCCUGAUAUGAGCUCAAACCUGAAUCUAGCAUGCCCUUUUCAAUUCAGGCUCCACAUGAGAAUAGUGAUUGCUGAAGCAUAUGUUGUUCUUGUGAAGCCACUAUGGAGACAGUCCCGUGCCUUCGUAAGCUAUGUGUCUGGACGAUGAAGUGCGUUUUCACUGCAUGGGUAAUUUAUGGCACUGCUGUAAGUAAACAUGUGAAUAGUUUGGACCAAAACUUAGUUUGCUGUUUGGUUUUUGACUUGGUUUCAAUAAGUUUGGCCUCUAUUGGAUUCAAAUGGAAAAUUGUUUGAUUCGAUUUGGGUUAUGCCUAAGAACGAAUUGGAUAAGUUUGGGUUGUGUUGAAAUAUUUCGGUCCAAAACGAGUGCAAAAUAUGGUUCGAGGCCAAAUUGAUCAAUCGGUCUCAGCCGCCGCUUCCAUAUCCAGCCGAAAUCCCAUGACGUUAUCAAACUUUGCCGCUACUACCCAGACGCGCAUGUCGCCGGCGGCGGCCGGAGCUCAUACAGUCACUUUCCUCUCCAUUAGCCACCAGUCAACCAUCUGAAGACUAUUUGUUUACUAUAGAAAUUCUGGAGGUUCGGUAUAACCACCCGGUCUUUUGUGAUGUAAUAUUUUCCUUUUUUUUUAUCUUAUCAUUUGAUGCAUUAGUUGCUACUAGUAAAUAAUGCAGGUCACGCCCAUUUAGUAGUUAUUACUGAAAGAAGAAUCCUAUUUAUCAAGUUUCUACUUUUGAAUGGUUGCCUGGAACAUACAUAUCUACCGUUUGUUUUGAUACAUUCCUUGAAACGAGUGUAAAUACCUGAAAAAUAAUAUACCCGUUAUGUCCUUAUUAUCUUCCAGCGAUGUUGUGUUCAGAAUCUCAUUUCUACUUGAAAGAUUACGUCUAGUCUAAGUAGUGUAGUGAAUACAGGAAGAAGUAUGUUAUCCAUCUACACAUUAGUGACAAUAGUCAUCACUAACUUUCAACGGAAUUUAGCCACUGUAUUUUACAGUAUUGUUCUUAAUUUUCUUUAGCUAGAGCAUUAUGUCGUCCUUGGUCCUUGUGGUGGUGGUUCAAUGCAAGGUUUGUUGCAACAAAUGCUACUUUUGAAAGCAGAGAUGUGGUAAGGUUAUUGCCUUCUUUUAUGCCUGAGAUCUUCCACUAAACAUUAUGUUGUUCAUGCUGGUCUAUAACCAGGCAGGUACUCCGUAGUUUCUUUAAGUCUACAUUGACUGUACGUAUUGAUAACUGAAGUUUUGAACUUCCACUAUUAUCUGGAAUAGUACCUCCUAUUUCUCGGAUAAAUUUAAUCUCUUCACUGUGAAGUCGCGACAUGCUAAAUUCCCGAAUCACAUUUAUCUGGAAGGGGCCAACUGUUUUGAGUCUAAAGGAGAAUACCCACUACUGAUGCUAAAAAGGAAUAAUAAGCUUGCGAGCAAAAUUUAUUCGGAAACUAAGAAGUAAAGGCUUCUGGUAUGCAAUCGUGGUAGCGACAAAGCUGUUUGUAUGUGAUUUGGAGACAAAGUAUCAAGAGGCAUAGACCUGGUCGUAUAGUACCAUGACGCAAUACAUAUAACAGCUCAUGUCUUUUAUGUUGUAAGAAUUUAGAGACACAUUUUACAUAGCACAUUUCUUUGGGCUCCCAAGGCCAUGCCAACUUAUCUUACAACAUGUGUUUAAAGAGUGUAAAGUCUUUCCGAUAAUUAUUAUAAUUAUCGUGUUAUUUUA